rnacentral:rRNA from 2 species
UACGUAGGGUGCGAGCGUUGUCCGGAAUUAUUGGGCGUAAAGGGCUCGUAGGCGGUUUGUCGCGUCGGGAGUGAAAACCAGGUGCUUAACACCUGGCUUGCUUUCGAUACGGGCAGACUAGAGGUAUUCAGGGGAGAACGGAAUUCCUGGUGUAGCGGUGAAAUGCGCAGAUAUCAGGAGGAACACCGGUGGCGAAGGCGGUUCUCUGGGAAUGACCUGACGCUGAGGAGCGAAAGUGUGGGGAGCGAAC